GUUCUCUUCCUCCUGACGUAUGCUAGGAUUGCAUGUGUCUCUCCUCUUGCAGUUAGACAUGGUUGUGUGACUUGCUUUGGCCAAUGUGAUGUCAGUGUAUCACUUCUGGGAAAACACUUUAGAACCAGUUCACGAUUGCUAUGUCUUCUUUCCCUCUGCCAUCAUAAUCUGCAAUAAUUCAGAGAUGGUUGCUCUGACAGCCUGGGUUCCAGAAUGAGAACAACCCACAGCAGCCUUCAGCUAAUCCAUGGUGGGCACUUAGGGUGAAACAGAGAUAUAUUUUUGUUGUUUUGACCUAUUUUUUUUUUUUUUUUGAGAUUUAGGAAUUGUUCAUUACUGCAGCAUAAUCAAGGUCAUCCUGACAAAUACAAUAUGCAAAAGCAAAGAGCUUUGGGCUCUCCAUUAUUGAGACAUUUGCAGACUGCUUGAAUGAAACCAUGCCAAGUACAGAGGGCCACUAAAAGAAUAUCAACAAAAACAGCAACACAACAAGGACAUCGGCAGCUGCCACAGUAGCAGUAAAAACAACACACCCCUGGUCUCUGGGCAUCCAUGGCAAUUAUAGUCACUGUGAGAUUGUGAGACUUGCAUUGGCAUUUCUAAGAACUCACUGUUCUCUAAAAUCAGGGACUGUCUAUCCUCAUUUACCAUAUCAUUUCUCUACAGCUUGUCCUGAGCGUGAAUGAACAGUCCAUUGGCUGGGUUUACAGAGCUCUGCUUCAUUCCCUCUGGCCUGAAGUGAGGUUGAAUUAUAAAAUAGGGCCAGCCUUAUCUUGGGCAGCCAUGCAACAAUGGUAUCUGGAGAAAAAUGAAGGACCACAUGGUGAGACGUUUGUUUGCUCUGUAAAGAUCAUGAAGCAGGAACCCCAUCUGCCAUGUUCAUCAUUACACAUCCCCACCUAAAAUGGAGUAUGGCACUGUGGAGUCUCAAUAAAUGUAUUUUGAAUGAAUAAAUAGAUAAACA
rnacentral:lncRNA from 1 species